GAGGUUAACCCCAUUAAGCACUCCGCCUGGGGAGUACGCCCGCAAGGUUGAAACUCAAAGGAAUUGACGGGGGCCCGCACAAGCAGUGGAGCAUGUGGUUUAAUUGGAAGCAACGCGAAGAACCUUACCAGGUCUUGACAUCUUUCGCUACUUCCAGAGAUGGAAGGUUCCCCUUCGGGGGACGAAGUGACAGGUGGUGCAUGGUUGUCGUCAGCUCGUGUCGUGAGAUGUUGGGUUAAGUCCCGCAACGAGCGCAACCCUUGAUCUUAGUUGCCAGCAUUCAGUUGGGCACUCUAAGGUGACUGCCGGUGACAAACCGGAGGAAGGUGGGGACGACGUCAAAUCAUCAUGCCCCUUAUGACCUGGGCUACACACGUGCUACAAUGGAUGGUACAAAGGGCAGCAAAACCGCGAGGUUGAGCGAAUCCCCAUAAAGCCAUUCUCAGUUCGGAUUGCAGGCUGCAACUCGCCUGCAUGAAGCCGGAAUUGCUAGUAAUCGCGGAUCAGCAUGCCGCGGUGAAUACGUUCCCGGGCCUUGUACACACCGCCCGUCACACCACGAGAGUUUGUAACUACCACGAAGUACGGUGAGGUAAC
rnacentral:rRNA from 1 species